GUGAACCUGCGGAAGGAUCAUUAAAGAGAUAGGGUCUUCAUGGCCCGACCUCCAACCCUCUGUUGUUAAAACUACCUUGUUGCUUUGGCGGGACCGUCUCGGUCUCCGAGCGCACUAACCCUCGGGUUGGUGAGCGCCCGCCAGAGUCCAACCAAACUCUUGUAUUAAACCAGUCGUCUGAGUAUAAAAUUUUAAUUAAAUUAAAACUUUCAACAACGGAUCUCUUGGUUCUCGCAUCGAUGAAGAACGCAGCGAAAUGCGAUAAGUAAUGUGAAUUGCAGAAUUCAGUGAAUCAUCGAAUCUUUGAACGCACAUUGCGCCCCUUGGUAUUCCGAGGGGCAUGCCUGUUCGAGCGUCAUUACACCACUCAAGCAUCGCUUGGUAUUGGGAACGGUCCGUCGCAAGGCGGGCCUUCCUCGAAGACCUCGGCGGGGUUCAACCAACUUCGGGCGUAGUAGAGUUAAAUCGAACGUCUUAUAAGCUUGGUCGGAUCUCAUUGCCGUUAAACCUUUAAAUUUUCUAGGUUGACCUCGGAUCAGGUAGGGAUACCCGCUGAACUUAAGCAUAUCAU
rnacentral:rRNA from 1 species